rnacentral:lncRNA from 1 species
CUGUUGUCACACUGUUAUAAAGAACUGCUCAAGAUUGGGCAGUUUAUAAAGAAAAGAGGUUGAAUUGACUCAGUUCCACAUGGCUGGGGAGGCCUCAGGAAACAGAUCAUGGCGGCAGGUGCGAGAGAGUGAGGAGGGUAAGGGGAAGAGCCCCUUGUAAACCAUCAGAUCUUGGGAGAACUCACUCACUAUCACGAGAACAGCAUGGGGGAAGCCGGGCCCAUGAUCCAGUCACCUCCCACCAGGUCUUCCCUAGACACUUGGGGAUUACCUUCAACAUGAGAUUUGGCGGGGACACAGCAAAACCGUAUCACUGGAAUGACAGGCACUCCACCAUGCCUGGCUAAAUUUUUUUUUUUUUUUUUUUUUAAUAUGGGGUCUUGCUGUGUUGCUCAGGGGUCUCAAACUCCUGGGCUCCAGUCAUC